rnacentral:tRNA from 1 species
GGCUGGGUAGCUCAGUUGGUACGAGCGAUCGCCUGAAAAGCGAUAGGUCGCCGGUUCGACCCCGGCCCAGCCA